rnacentral:rRNA from 1 species
UUGAGAGUUUGAUCCUGGCUCAGGAUGAACGCUGGCGGUGUGCCUUAGGCAUGCAAGUCGAACGGUAACAGGUCUAGCUUGCUAGACGCUGACGAGUGGCGAACGGGUGAGUAACACGUAGGAAUCUACCCAGUAGUGGGGAAUAGCUCGCCGAAAGGCGGGAUAAUACCGCAUACGCCCUCCGGGGGAAAGCAUUUAUGCGCUAUUGGAAGAGCCUGCGCGCUAUCAGCUAGUUGGUGAGGUAAAGGCUCACCAAGGCUACGACGGCUAGCCGAUGUGAGAGCAUGAUCGGCCACAAGGCUACUGAGACACGGAGCCUACNNNNNNNNNNNNNNNNNNNNNNNNNNNNNNNNCUAACCACGUGCCAGAAGCUUCGGUAAUACGUGGGGUGCAAGCGUUAUCCGGAUUUAUUGGGCGUAAAGGGUCCGUCGGCGUCCAUAUAAGUUUCUUGUUUAAGCCCGGGGCUUAACUUCGGAAAAGCAAGAAAAACUAUAUGGAUAGAGUCUGUUCGAGGAAACUGGAAUUCUUGGUGAAGGGGUGAAAUCCGUAGAUAUCAAGAGGAACGCCAAGCGCGAAGGCAAGUUUCUAGGACAGUACUGACGCUCAGGGACGAAAGCUUGGGUAGCAAAAGGGAUUAGAGACCCCUGUAGUCCAAGCCGUAAAUGCUCCUUGCUAGUUGCCCGAACCUUGAGUUUGGGUGGCGUAAGCUAACGCGUUAAGCAAGGCGCCUGGGGAGUACGACCGCAAGGUUAAAACUCAAAGGAAUUGACGGGGGAGCGCACAACCGGUGGA